rnacentral:rRNA from 1 species
UUCGACCUGAGCUCAGGCAAGGCUACCCGCUGAACUUAAGCAUAUCAAUAAGCGGAGGAAAAGAAACUAACC